rnacentral:rRNA from 1 species
GGGCCGGAUAAGGUCGAUUUGGAGGUUGUGCCCUUGAGGCGUGGCUUCCGGAGCUAACGCGUUAAAUCGACCGCCUGGGGAGUACGGCCGCAAGGUUAAAACUCAAAUGAAUUGACGGGGGCCCGCACAAGCGGUGGAGCAUGUGGUUUAAUUCGAUGCAACGCGAAGAACCUUACCUGGUCUUGACAUCCACAGAACUUUCCAGAGAUGGAUUGGUGCCUUCGGGAACUGUGAGACAGGUGCUGCAUGGCUGUCGUCAGCUCGUGUUGUGAAAUGUUGGGUUAAGUCCCGCAACGAGCGCAACCCUUAUCCUUUGUUGCCAGCGGUUAGGCCGGGAACUCAAAGGAGACUGCCAGUGAUAAACUGGAGGAAGGUGGGGAUGACGUCAAGUCAUCAUGGCCCUUACGACCAGGGCUACACACGUGCUACAAUGGCAUAUACAAAGAGAAGCGACCUCGCGAGAGCAAGCGGACCUCAUAAAGUAUGUCGUAGUCCGGAUUGGAGUCUGCAACUCGACUCCAUGAAGUCGGAAUCGCUAGUAAUCGUAGAUCAGAAUGCUACGGUGAAUACGUUCCCGGGCCUUGUACACACCGCCCGUCACACCAUGGGAGUGGGUUGCAAAAGAAGUAGGUAGCUUAACCUUCGGGAGGGCGCUUACCACUUUGUGAUUCAUGACUGGGGUGAAGUCUAAGGGGGAACCCCCCAAAAAAAAAAAGAACCCCCAAACCUUUGGGG